rnacentral:ncRNA from 1 species
UUAUAUAAAAGGUAAAAUAAAGGAAACUUUAUGACACAAAACUAAAGGGGCUUUAAAAUGCCAGCCAGUUGCUAUA